GACGAACGCUGGCGGCGUGCUUAACACAUGCAAGUCGAAUGGUGAAGGGGUCUGCUUUUGUGGGCCCUGGAUGAGUGGCGAACGGGUGAGUAACACGUGAGUAACCUGCCCCCUUCUUCUGGAUAACCGCAUGAAAGUGUGGCUAAUACGGGAUAUUCUGGGUCUGUCGCAUGAUGGGUCUGGGAAAGAUUGCGCCUUUGGGUGUUUUUGGUGGGGGAUGGGCUCGCGGCCUAUCAGCUUGUUGGUGGGGUGAUGGCCUACCAAGGCGGUGACGGGUAGCCGGCCUGAGAGGGUGGACGGUCACACUGGGACUGAGACACGGCCCAGACUCCUACGGGAGGCAGCAGUGGGGAAUAUUGCACAAUGGGCGCAAGCCUGAUGCAGCGACGCCGCGUGAGGGAUGGAGGCCUUCGGGUUGUAAACCUCUUUCGCCAGUGAAGCAGGCCUGCUCCUUGUGGGUGGGUUGACGGUAGCUGGAUAAGAAGCGCCGGCUAACUACGUG
rnacentral:rRNA from 1 species